GACGAACGCUGGCGGCGUGCUUAACACAUGCAAGUCGAACGGAAAGGCCCUGCUUUUGUGGGGUGCUCGAGUGGCGAACGGGUGAGUAUCACGUGAGUAACCUGCCCUUGUCUUUGGGAUAACUUCAGGAAACUGGGGCUAAUACCGGAUAGGAGCUCCUGCUGCAUGGUGGGGGUUGGAAAGUUUCGGCGGUUGGGGAUGGACUCGCGGCUUAUCAGCUUGUUGGUGGGGUAGUGGCUUACCAAGGCUUUGACGGGUAGCCGGCAUGGGAGGGUGACCGGGCACAUUGGGACUGAGAUACGGCCCAGACUCCUACGGGAGGCAGCAGUGGGGAAUAUGGCACAGUGGGCGGAAGCCUGAUGCAGCAACGCCGCGUGCGGGAUGACGGCCUUCGGGGUGUAAACCGCUUUCGCCUGUGACGAAGCGGGAGUGACGGUAAUGGGUAAAGAAGCACCGGCUAACUACGUG
rnacentral:rRNA from 1 species